CCUAGCCUUGGAGUGGGGAAUAACAGCUGGAAACAGCUGCUAAUACCGCAUGAUGCAGUUGGGUCGCAUGGCUCUGACUGCCAAAGAUUUAUCGCUCUGAGAUGGACUCGCGUCUGAUUAGCUAGUUGGCGGGGCAACGGCCCACCAAGGCGACGAUCAGUAGCCGGACUGAGAGGUUGGCCGGCCACAUUGGGACUGAGACACGGCCCAGACUCCUACGGAAGGCAGCAG
rnacentral:rRNA from 1 species